rnacentral:rRNA from 1 species
UAACAAGGAUUCCCCUAGUAGCGGCGAGCGAAGCGGGAAGAGCUCAAAUUUAUAAUCUGGCACUUUCAGUGUCCGAGUUGUAAUCUCUAGAAGUGUUUUCCGCAUUGGACCGCACACAAGUCUGUUGGAAUACAGCGGCACAGUGGUGAGACCCCCGUAUACGGUGCGGAUGCCCAAUGCUUUGUGAUACACUUUCGAAGAGUCGAGUUGUUUGGGAAUGCAGCUCAAAUUGGGUGGUAAAUUCCAUCUAAAGCUAAAUAUUGGCGAGAGACCGAUAGCGAACAAGUACCGUGAGGGAAAGAUGAAAAGCACUUUGGAAAGAGAGUUAACAGUACGUGAAAUUGUUGGAAGGGAAACGCUUGAAGUCAGACUUGCUAUUCGGGGCUUGCUCCGAGUUGCAGGCCAGCAUCAGUUUUCUGGGGUGGAAAAUCACGGUUAGAAGGUAGCAACUUCGGUUGUGUUAUAGCUUUCCGUUGGAUACAUCCUGGGGGACUGAGGAACGCAGUGUGCUUUUAGCAGGAGCUUCGGCUUCAUCACACUUAGGAUGCUGGUGGAAGGCUUAA